CGACCCUCUGAGCUAAGAUCAUGUGUAGUAUCUGUUCUUUGCAGUGUAAUUUCUGCAACGGUCUAUAAACUGAGACCAAUGAAAUUUCCUGUAUUUUUCACCUACGGACGGCGGCUGUGAGCUUGCUCAGCCCUGUCCAAGACCGAGAGUGUGGAGAGUCAGCUCUC
rnacentral:snRNA from 1 species